rnacentral:tRNA from 1 species
ACUUGAAUAGCUUAUUUUUAGAGCGUGACGCUGAAGAUGUCAAUGAGGUGUUUGUGCCUUUAAGUA